UACGGAGGGUGCAAGCGUUAUCCGGAUUCACUGGGUUUAAAGGGCGCGUAGGCGGUGCGGUAAGUCACCUGUGAAACCUCUAGGCUCAACCUAGAGCCUGCAGGCGAAACUGCCGUGCUUGAGGGUGGGAGAGGUGCGUGGAAUUCCCGGUGUAGCGGUGAAAUGCGUAGAUAUCAGGAGGAACACCGGUGGCGAAGGCGGGUCUCUGGGCCGACACUGGCGCUGAGGAGCGAAAGCGUGGGGAGCGAACAGG
rnacentral:rRNA from 1 species